rnacentral:rRNA from 1 species
UACGAAGGGGGCUAGCGUUGUUCGGAAUUACUGGGCGUAAAGCGUGCGCAGGCGGUUGUGGAAGACAGAUGGGAAAUCCCCGGGCUCAACCUGGGAACUGCAUUUGUGACUGCACGGCUCGAGUGCGGCAGAGGGGGAUGGAAUUCCGCGUGUAGCAGUGAAAUGCGUAGAUAUGCGGAGGAACACCGAUGGCGAAGGCAAUCCCCUGGGCCUGCACUGACGCUCAUGCACGAAAGCGUGGGGAGCAAACAGG